rnacentral:rRNA from 1 species
AGAGUUUGAUCCUGGCUCAGGACGAACGCUGGCGGCGCGCCUAACACAUGCAAGUCGAACGAGCGAGAGAGAGCUUGCUUUCUCGAGCGAGUGGCGAACGGGUGAGUAACGCGUGAGGAACCUGCCUCAAAGAGGGGGACAACAGUUGGAAACGACUGCUAAUACCGCAUAAGCCCACGGCUCGGCAUCGAGCAGAGGGAAAAGGAGCAAUCCGCUUUGAGAUGGCCUCGCGUCCGAUUAGCUAGUUGGUGAGGUAACGGCCCACCAAGGCAACGAUCGGUAGCCGGACUGAGAGGUUGAACGGCCACAUUGGGACUGAGACACGGCCCAGACUCCUACGGGAGGCAGCAGUGGGGAAUAUUGCACAAUGGGGGAAACCCUGAUGCAGCGACGCCGCGUGGAGGAAGAAGGUCUUCGGAUUGUAAACUCCUGUUGUUGGGGAAGAUAAUGACGGUACCCGACAAGGAAGUGACGGCUAACUACGUGCCAGCAGCCGCGGUAAAACGUAGGUCACAAGCGUUGUCCGGAAUUACUGGGUGUAAAGGGAGCGCAGGCGGGAAGACAAGUUGGAAGUGAAAUCUAUGGGCUCAACCCAUAAACUGCUUUCAAAACUGUUUUUCUUGAGUAGUGCAGAGGUAGGCGGAAUUCCCGGUGUAGCGGUGGAAUGCGUAGAUAUCGGGAGGAACACCAGUGGCGAAGGCGGCCUACUGGGCACCAACUGACGCUGAGGCUCGAAAGUGUGGGUAGCAAACAGGAUUAGAUACCCUGGUAGUCCACACCGUAAACGAUGAUUACUAGGUGUUGGAGGAUUGACCCCUUCAGUGCCGCAGUU